rnacentral:lncRNA from 1 species
UGGAGUCCUCCCUGCAUCUUAUGAAAGGGGCAGUGUCUCAGAGCUGUAUCCAUCCCGUUUCGCCAUUCUGUGGGUGGAGGGUGUCCCCUGAGAGUGCCAAGGUAGGCGUCUGGAUUGUGCCAUCCACACACCCUCUUCUACAGCUCCAAUGGAGUAUGGUGGGAGUGGAGUUAGGUGUCAGUGCUCAGUUCCUCAGCCUACCAUCUUUGCCAGGAACUCCCUGCCCAUCGCUUCUCCAUGUUCUACCCUUUGUCUUCCUCCCCCAGUGCCACAGACCCCUCAGCCCCAGUCCCCAUGGCCUGUGUGUUGUUGCUGAGCACAGUGGGCCAUUCCAUGAUUAUCCUCCUAUGGCUCGGACACUGUGGACUGCCGACCACUUCUCAGCACAGUGGGCUGGACCAACCCUCACCCUGUAGGCCCAGCAGCACCCUGGAGCCCAGCGUAUCCACAUCCCACUAAUAUGAGGGGCAUGCAGUCUCAGUGUAGUUGUGGAGCCCCUCCUUCUGGCCCAGGUGCCCCCCGUCCACCUGUGGCAGCACAGUGUGCAGGGGGCUACAGACCACGAAUGGGUCCCUCAGGUGUGAACUUGCCCUCACUUGCUCACUGCCCCCCUGGCUCCCCAUGCUGACCCAGUUGGGACAAGGCCUUCCUGAAACUGGGAUGGGGUCAACUGCUUGGGUAUCUCUGGGAGGCAUGUUAAACGCAGGUCUGUAAGUAUUCACGUUGCGUUUUCAUCAAAACAAACCCAGACUCAUCCAUUUCUUCCCAUGUCCACGGGUGUCUCUGAGGCCCAAACCUCUCUCUUUUGGGACUAUUGCAGGGGCUUCUCCUCUCCAUUUUCCUGUCUAUACCCACUACUCACUGCUGUCAAGAUGGCGGCCACUGAUGCAGUGCUGUUUCUGCACUCUGCGCCUUCCCGUGCUCCCCACCUCAUUCAGGAGAGGGCAGCCACAUAGGUCCUGUCUGAUCCACCCUCCGGCCAGGCGGCCCCUGUGGGAUUCCUCACACAGCAUUCCAUUACCGGAUGGCGUUCCCCAUUGGU